rnacentral:rRNA from 1 species
UACAGAGGGGGCAAGCGUUGUUCGGAAUUACUGGGCGUAAAGGGCGCGUAGGCGGCCUGUUAAGUCGAACGUGAAAUCCCCGGGCUCAACCCGGGAACUGCGUCCGAUACUGGCAGGCUUGAAUUCGGGAGAGGGAUGCGGAAUUCCAGGUGUAGCGGUGAAAUGCGUAGAUAUCUGGAGGAACACCGGUGGCGAAGGCGGCAUCCUGGACCGGUAUUGACGCUGAUGCGCGAAAGCCAGGGGAGCAAACGGG